rnacentral:rRNA from 1 species
UACAGAGGUGGCAAGCGUUACUCGGAAUUAUUGGGUGUAAAGGGCAGGUAGGUGGCCUAGUAAGUGAGGGGUGAAAUACUGCGGUUUAAUCGCAGAACAGCCUUUCAAACUGCAUGGCUUGAGAGAAAUAGAGGAAGAUGGAAUUCCCGGUGUAAGGGUGAAAUCUGUAGAUAUCGGGAAGAACACCAACGGCGAAGGCAAUCUUCUGGGUUUCUUCUGACACUGAACUGCGAAAGCUAGGGGAGCAAACAGAAUUAGAUACUCUGGUAGUCCUAGCCGUAAACGAUGAAUACUAGGUGUUGGCCCUUUCGGGGGUCGGUGCCGAAGCUAACGCAUUAAGUAUUCCACCUGGGGACUACGAUCGCAAGGUUAAA